AUUGAACGCUGGCGGCAGGCCUAACACAUGCAAGUCGAGCGGUAGAGAGGUGCUUGCACCUCUUGAGAGCGGCGGACGGGUGAGUAAUGCCUAGGAAUCUGCCUGGUAGUGGGGGAUAACGCUCGGAAACGGACGCUAAUACCGCAUACGUCCUACGGGAGAAAGCAGGGGACCUUCGGGCCUUGCGCUAACAGAUGAGCCCAGGUCGGAUUAGCCAGUUGGUGAGGAAAUGGCUCACCAAGGCGACGAUCCGUAACUGGUCUGAGAGGAUGAUCAGUCACACUGGAGCUGAGACACGGUCCAGACUCCUACGGGAGGCAGCAGUGGGGAAUAUUGGACAAUGGGCGAAAGCCUGAUCCAGCCAUGCCGCGUGUGUGAAGAAGGUCUUCGGAUUGUAAAGCACUUUAAGUUGGGAGGAAGGGUCGUUACCUAAUACGUGACGAUUUUGACGUUACCGACAGAAUAAGCACCGGCUAACUCUGUGCCAGCCGCCGCGGUAACAC
rnacentral:rRNA from 1 species